CUGGGACGCCCUUCGUCUACCGUUCCUCACGCAGUCGCGGUGUGUUCGUUUUAGACGUCAGUGAGUGCCGUUGUGUCCUGCUCUGUUUUCUGCGUUUAUCACAAAAACUCAAAAUACAUUACAACUCCAAGAAGGUAUUUGGAAACGGCUGAAUUCUGUUGAUUGCGCACAAGUUUCAAGUGCAAUCCGGAAGUCUCACUCUGACCUCUUUUCCAGUGCGCACCUACCUGUAGCUGUUCACCUUUGACCCAGCACGAUGGAAAAACUACAUAUUUUAAAGGAAGCUUUCCUUGGUCUGGAUGUUGUCCAGCAGCGGCUUCUGAUAGGUUCAGCUGUUGCAGCUGGGGGGAUAUUGGCGUGCAUGGUGCAUAAAAGAAGACAAGUCAAAACUAUCCCCCUCGGUGAAGGAUGGUGGGGAGCUGGGCAGAAGUCACUGUCAAAAGAUGAUAACAUCUACAGUUUCAGAGUGGAAACCUCAGAUAAAGACAUUGAGGACCUUUAUGAGCGGAUUGACAGAACACGCUACACGGAUCCAUUGGAAGACAGUGGCUUCCAUUAUGGUUUCAAUUCCACCUACCUGAAGAAAGUGGUUUCCUAUUGGAGACAUGAGUUUGACUGGAAAAAGCAGGUGGAAAUGCUGAACAAGUAUCCACACUUCAAAACCAAAAUAGAAGGACUGGAUGUGCACUUUAUCCAUGUGCGGCCCCCACACCGUGAGAAUCAGAAGGUUCUGCCUCUCAUGCUUGUUCACGGCUGGCCUGGAUGCUUCUAUGAGUUUUACAAAAUAAUACCACUACUCACAGAGAACCAGGAUGGUGUUGCAUUUGAAAUCAUAUGCCCAUCUAUCCCUGGUUAUGGUUUCUCAGAAGCCCCGCAUAAACAAGGAUUUGACAGUCUGUCUGCUGCAAGAAUUUUCCUGACACUGAUGGAGCGUCUAGGCUUCUCCCAGUUCUAUCUGCAGGGUGGAGACUGGGGCUCCCUUAUCACCACUAACAUGGCCCAGAUGAAGCCUCAGUGUGUGAAAGGCCUCCAUCUGAACAUGUUUCUUUCAAGAAGAGGAUUCAAAGUGCUGCUGGGCCUCAUGUUUGGCCGUUACCUGCCUUUCCUUGUGGGUUUAACGUGGGAAGAUGUCCGCCGCCUGUUCCCUUACUUUGAAAAGAAUGUUUGGGAAAUCCUGAGAGAAACAGGCUACUUACACAUUCAGGCCACUAAACCAGACACUGCAGGCUGUGGAGUGAAUGACUCUCCUGUCGGCCUGGCUGCCUACAUCCUGGAGAAGUUCUCCACGUGGACUGAUCUGGAGAACAGAGCCCUGGAAGAUGGCGGGCUGGAGAGGAAAUUCAACCUGGAUGAACUCUUGACAGUCAUCAUGAUCUACUGGACCUCAGGCUCCAUCGUCUCUUCCAUGCGCUUCUACAAAGAGAACACCAAAAGAAAUUUUGACAACAGAGUGGACCAGAAGACAGGGAUAUUUGUUCCCACAGGACUGGCAGCAUUCCCAAAUGAGCUGAUGCACUGCCCCCAGGCAUGGGCACAAAUUAGGUAUAAAAACAUCUACUCGUAUACGUUCAUGUCUCGAGGAGGUCACUUUGCUGCCUUUGAGGAGCCAAAGCUACUGGCUGAUGACAUUUUGCAGUUUGUUAAAAAAGUUGAGAAGCCCUGAACUUGCACAUGCGUUCUGACCAAAUGUAAAUGGUCUUUUUUAUCACUCUGUUUGAUUCCAUUCAAUACUUCAGUGCUUUUUACUUGAUUUCCCUACAACUCUACAUUGCCUACAGAGUGGUUUUAACUGACAAACUAAUGAUAGUGGCACUUUAAUGUUAAUAACAAAGAAAACAAUAUAUUAUAUUUUUUUAAUCUUUAUUAUGAUUAAUAAAAAUAUUGCACCAA